UACAGAGGUCUCAAGCGUUGUUCGGAUUCAUUGGGCGUAAAGGGUGCGUAGGCGGCGGGGUAAGUCUGAUGUGAAAUCCCGGGGCUCAACCCCGUGGAACUGCAUUGGAUACUGCCUUGCUAGAGAACUGGAGAGGAAACUGGAAUUUACGGUGUAGCAGUGAAAUGCGUAGAGAUCGUAAGGAAGACCAGUGGCGAAGGCGAGUUUCUGGACAGUUACUGACGCUGAGGCACGAAGGCCAGGGGAGCAAACGGG
rnacentral:rRNA from 1 species